AUCUGGUCUAAGUCCCACGGAGCCACUCUUCUCCAAGGGACCUCAUCUCACCUGUGGCAUCAGGUAUGCAGGACUUGCUGAAUGGAUGGAUGGUGGCAUGAGUUAAUCUCCCCAAGGCUAAGAGGCUGAUUCAACACUGAAAGAUCU
rnacentral:lncRNA from 1 species